CUCACUUUUUCAAGCAAAUGACAAAAGUAUCCUUGAAUUUGAUCCCAAAAGGAGUCCAUUUCAUGGUUGGUCAUAUGUAGACAAUUAAUAAAGAAAAUUCCUAAAUCUUCCUUGAAAAAAAGUCAAAGUUAUACUGUGAUACUGACUCAUACUUACAGAAAAUAAAUUUGUGCCACUGGAGACCACCAUAAGGACAUUUUCUAAGUAAUUUUUGUCUCUGCAUCUGUGUUAUUACACUACACAGAAUGGAAACCAUACCCAGCUUGGGAGUUUUGAUUUAGCCACAAAUGUCACAAAGCAAUGAGACAUCAAUUGCCUGCUCUUCAAUAAGUUAUUGCUCAGGAUCCAAGCCUUUCACAAACAUUAAUGUGAGCUGUCUAUACAUAAAGCAUACAUUUUAAAGGGUGAAAAUUACAUUGCUAUUCUCAAAUGAAGUGACUGCAUUAUGCUUGCCACAAUAAACACACACAUUCUGAAGUGUUUGCAUAAAAGCUUUGGCUUUAAAAUGUAACUGGUUGUGCAGAAGUGAUUCUGAUAUUUAAAAAUCUGUAAAGGUGUAUAGCACAUGCCAAUUUCUGUUGAACAUAUCCCAAGUACUUAACUUCUCAGGUAAGGGGACCAAAGAAGCCAUGGUUAAGAGCCCAAAUUAUUUUGUUGGAUCAUUCUGGAGAAAACAAUUUAUGAUUCUGGGAGACUAUUCAACAUUUCUCCAAGUGCUCUUAGUUCUAAAUUAAAACGCUGCUGCCCAGGCACAGCUGCCUCCCUGUCACUUAUUUCAAGGACCAGAGAUUGACAGACAUUGUUGUUUCUGUUUUUUCCUUUAGCUCAGUCCAGUUUGAGAAACCUGCAGACAGAAACCUUAUCUAAGUUGUCACCAUUGUGCCUCAUCACCCUCAAACAAAUGGUCUUGAUAGGCAUUACAAAGAAAUAGCAUCUAACAGAAAGGAUUACAGAAUGUCUUGGUGCGUCAUACAUAAAUGUAAACUUGAGACUACACCCAGACACCAGCUGAGUUAUCAGCUAUGUUCCCAGAGCCUUGAUGGAGGAGGAGACACCAGGGAGGUGUGUGCACAGAAAAAAUGCAGAGAGCAUAUAACCAGAAGACCACUCAUCUGCAAGCCAAGCUCCAAGAUGGCUGAUAGGAAAAAGAUGUGCUGAUUUUGACCAGGAGAAGAUAACAGAAGAAAAGUAGAGGAAGACUUAGAGAGAAGUUUGCGGUAUAAAUUCUACAGAAAGAAGAAAGAUACCAUAGAGCACCAUGGACAGGAAGAACACUCAAUACUGAGUGGGGAACAACCCAUGAUUCCCACAGCCAGGGGCUGGAGGAGAGUCCACCUUCUGGGAGCAAGGUGAGAGCAGACUGCGAAAGCAUGUGUCACUAGUGAUAUUUCCUGAGGGAGAACCAGACAGACCACACUGACUUCGAGUCUGGCCUAGAGUGUUAGUGGGAGGGUAAGGUGCCCGUCUAAACCUGUAAACAGAGAGCACAGUUCUUUCUCAUUAUUCCAAAAAGAAAGAAACUGUCAAACAAUAAUACUGUACCCAAAAAAGCUCUCAUUUAUAAAUGAAGGUGAAGUAAAGACCAUCCAAAGCAAACAGAAAUCGAAGGAAUUGUCACUUUUCCAGUCUUACAAAUGAUACUUAAGCAUGUGUUACACACAGAAACAAAAACACGUAGUCAUAAUUGUGAAAUAAUGUGAAGGCAGAAUAUGUCCUAGUAAAAGUACAAAGGAUAUCCAAAGCAAUGAUUAUGGAUAUUUAUGUAAAAAUAGCAGGGCCAAGUCAUUACUUAUCAAUAAUAACCUUGAAAGUAAAUGGCCUAAAUUCUACAAUUAAAAAAUUAAGAUUGGCUGAAUGGAUUAAAAGACAAGACCCAUAUAUUUGCUGCCUACAAGAAACACACCUCACCAACAAAAAUACAUGCAGACUUAAGGUGAAAGUGUGGAAAAGAUAUUCCAUACUAAUUGACAUAAAAAUGAAUAGGUGUGGCCAUCCUAAUAUCAGAAAAAAAGGACUUUAUCACAAAAAAUGUUAAAAGAGAAAAAGAAGGCCGGCACCGUGGCUCAAUAGGCUAAUCCUCCACCUAGCGUCGCCGGCACACUGGGUUCUAGUCCCGGUUGGGGUGCUGGAUUAUGUCCCCGUUGCCCAUCUUCCAGCCCAGCUCUCUGCUAUGGCCCGGGAGUGCAGUGGAGGAUGGCCCAAGUCCUUGGGCCCUGCACCCACAUGGGAGACCAGGAGAAGCACCUGGCUCCUGGCUUACGGAUCAGCGCGAUGCACAGGCCGCAGCGCACCAGCCGCAGCAGCCAUUGGAGGGUGAACCAACGGCAAAAAGGAAGACCUUUCUCUCUGUCUCUCUCUCUCUGUCCACUCUGCCUGUCAAAAAAAAAAAAAAAAACUAAAAAAAAGAAAAAAAGAAGGGCAUUAUGUAAUGAUAAAGGGAUCCAUUCAACAGGAAAAUGUGACUACAAUAAAGGCAUAGACACCCAAUGCUAGGGUAUGUGGCUAUUUAAAACAAAUAUGGUUCUGAAGAGAGACUACACUCCAAUACAAUGGUAAUGGGGGACUUUAAAAUCCACUUUCAUCAAUGGACAUCAGCUAAGCAGAAAAUCAACAAAGCAAUAGAGCUAAUCUGUAUUAUGGACCAAGUGGACCUAAUUGAUAUCUACAGAACUUCUAAUCCUACAGUUGCAUAAUACACAUUCUUUUCAUCCGUGCAUUGAACUUUCUCUAGGAUAGUCCAUAAAGUAAGUCUCAGCAAAUUCAAUCCAAUUGAAAUCAUAGUAUGUAUCUUCUCUGACUAGCUAGAAAUUAACAUCUUGAGAAAUUCUAUAAAAUAGUCAAACACAUGGAGACUGAACAACACAGACCUAAAUGAACAAUAAGUUAUAGAAGAAAUGAAAAGGUAAAUACAAAUAUCCUAAGAAAAAAAUGAAGAUUGCAACAUAAUGUAUCAACACUUAUGGAAUACAGCAAAAGUAGUGCUAGGAGUGAAGUUUAUACCAAUGAGUAGCUAUAUUAAGAAGUUAGAAAGGCAUCAAGUAUAGGAUUGAACAAUUAAUCUCAAGGACCUAGAAAAAUAGGAACCAACCAAACACAAAGAAAAAGGAGGACAGAAAUAAUUAAAAUUAGAGAAAAAAAUGAACAAAAUUGAAACAAAUGAAACAGAUCAGUGAAAUGAAUACAUAUUUUUUUGCAAAAAUAAAUAAAAUUGAAUAUGCCAUUGGCCCAACUAACCAAAUAAAAGAAGGAGAAGACCCAAGUUAAUAAAAUUGAAGAAGAAAAAGCAGAUGUAAUAACAGGAGAUAUAAUAAGAAAUACCACAGAAGAGAAGAAAAAAUCUAUGUAAAAACAGGAGAUAGAACAACAGAUUUGGCAGAAAUAAAAAAUAAUCAUCAGGAAUUACUACAAACAGCUAUAAGCCAACAAAUUGGAAAAUCUAGAGGAAAUAGAUUUCUGGACACAUAUGAUCUACCAAAUUUGAUUCAUAAAGACAUAGAAAACCUGAAACACCAAUAACCAAGAUAGAGAUUGAUUCAGUAAUAAAGACUCUUCUCAAUAAAGAAAAGCCCAAGACUGGAUAGCUUCAAUGCUGAAUUCUACCAAACUUUUAAAGAACUAAUUCUAAUUCUUCUCAAACUACUCAAAACAAUAGAAAGGGAGGGAAUCCUCUCAAACUCAUUCUAUGAGGCUAGCAUCACCUCAAUUCCAAAAAGAUACAACAAAGAAAAAGAAUUAUAUACCAAUAAACCUGAUGAACAUAGAUGCAAAAAUCCUGAACAAAAUACUAGCUAGUCAAAUCCAACAACAUAUCAGGAAGAUAAUUCAUCCAGACCAAGUGGGAUGCAUUCCAGGUAUGCAGGGAUUGAUCAAUAUAUGCAUUUCAAUAAAUGUGAUAUAUCACAUUAGCAAACUGAAGAAAAAAUCAUAUUAUUAUCUCAAUAGAUGCAGAGAAUGCAUUUGAUAAAAUAAUACAACAUCCUUUCAUAAUAAAAACUUUAAGCAAACUGGGUAUAGAAGGAACAUUCCUCAACACAAUCAAGGCAAUCUAUGACAAAUUCAUAGCCAUCAUCAUGUUUAUGGGUAAAAGUUGGAAGCAUUUCCACUAAGACCCAGAACCAGAAAAAAAUGCCCACUCUCAUCAUUGCUGUCCAAUACAGUUCUGGAAGCUUUAGCCAGAGCCAUUAGGUAAGAAAAAGAAAUAUAUGGAUACAAAUCAGAAAUAAGGAGGUCAAAUAGUGCCUGUUUGCAUUUGACAUAAUUCUAUAUAUAGGGGAUCCAAAAGACUCAACCAAGAGACUGUUAGAACUCAUAAGAGAGUUUGGUAAAGUUGCAAGAUAUAAAAUCAACACACAAAAAUCAAUAGCCUUUGUAUAAAAGAGAAUGCCUUGGCUGAGAAAGAACUUCGAAGAUCAAUCCCAUUCACAAUAGCUACCAAAAAUUUAAAUACCUUGGGAUAAAUUUGACCAAGUAUGUGAAAAUCUCUACAAUGAAUAAUACAAAAUGUUAAAGAAAGAAAUAGAAAAAGCCACAAAAAAUGAAAAAUUCUUUUGUGUUCAUAUACUGGAAGAAGUAAUACAAUCAAAAUAUCCAUACUACCAAAAGCAAUUUAUAGAUUCACUGUGAUCCAAAGCAAAACACUGACAACAUUAUUCUCAGAUCUAGAAACAAUAAUGCUAAAAUUCAUAUGGAAACACCAGAGACCUCAAAAUAGCUAAAGCAAUGUUAUUCAACAAAAACUAAGCUGGAGGCAUCACAAUACCAGAUUUCAAGACAUGCUUAAAAGCAUCAUUAUCAAAACAGUCUAGUACUGCCACAAAUAUAGACAUAUAGAUCAGUGGAAUGGAUUAGAAACACAGAAAAUAAUCUACAUUUCUACACCAACUAAUCUUUUCCAAAUCAGUAAAAUCAGUCCCUGGAGAAAGGACGGUAUGGUGCUGGCAAUUGUAUCUACAUGUGCAGAGGUAUGAAACAAGAACCCUAUCUUAACUCUUAUACAAAGAGCAACUCAAUAUGGACCAAGAAUGAACAUCUAUGAUCUGAUACCAUUAAAUUAUUAGAGGAAACCACGGGGGAAAUUCUGCAAGACAUUGGCAAAGACUUCUUAGAAAAGACCUCUGAGGCACAGACAGUGAAGACAAAAACAGGCAAAAGGGAUUACAUCAAGCUAAGAAGCUUCUGCACCACAAGGGAAACACUCAACAAAGUGAAGAAACGAGCGACAGAAUGGUGUAAAAUAUUUGCAAACCAUGCAACUGCUAUUGGAUUAAUAUUCAGAAUCUAUAAAGAGCUCAAGAAACUCAACAAUGAGAUAAACCAUCCAGUUAAGAAAUUGGCAAAGGAAAUGAACAGGCAUUUUUCAAAGUAUGAAAUUCAAAUGGCCAACAGACACAUGAAAAAAUUGCUCAGGAUCACUAGCUGUGAGGAAAAUGUAAAUCAAAACCACAAUGCAAAUUACAACCUCACCCUAGUUAGAAUGUUAUUAUCCAAAAAUCAGAAAAUAACAAAUGCUCUAGAGGAUUUGGGGACAAGGUACACUAAUGCAGUGUUGGUGGGAAUGUAAACUAGUUCAAGCAUUACGGAAGACAAUAUGGAGAUUCUUCAGAGAUAUGAAAAUAGAUCUACUAUAUGACCCAGCAAUUCCACUCCUCGGAAUGUACUCAAAUGAAAAUAAAUCAGCGUAUGAAAGAGUUAUCUGUACCCCCACAUUUAUUGAAGCUUAAUUCACAUUAGCUAAGAUAUGAAAUCAACCCAGAUGUCCAUCAACUGAGUACUGGAUAAAGAAAUUGUGGUAUAUAUACACUAUGAAAUAUUACUCAGCCAUAAACAAUGAACAAAAUCCUGUCUUUUGCAACAAAAUGGAUAUAGCUGGAAACCAUUAUGUUUGUGAAAUAAGCCAGUCUCCAAAUGACAAAUACCAUGUUUUCUCUGAUAUUUGUCUGCUAACAUAGAAUACAAAAAAUGUAGAAAAAUGAAAUGAAUAUUUUGAUAUGAUUACCAUUUUUAGCCCUUGUUUAUCCUCCUUUGGAAUAUGGUCUUCCUACUUUUUACUUGUUGAAUAUUAUUGUUAGUGGUGAAUCAAGCUUGUGAACAUAGAAUGGAUUAAAAUUCUGUCUUUCCAAAAACUGAUGA